AUGAUACAUACAAAUGUAUUGGAACAGUUUCUGCCAAGAGUGGAUGUUGGUCUUCUUAAGGGUGGUUUUGUUCUUAACUCAUCUUCAAAUUCAUCUACCAUAAUCUCUCAUGUAUUUGGUUUUGGCGAUAUCGUGCAUCUUGCUAUUGGUGACGAGGUCCCUGCUGAUGGAUUAUUUGUUUCUGAUAUUCUCUAUUUAUUGAUGUCUAUACAUGACUGUUGUGAAAACGUGCAUUUGUAUGAAAAGCAAAGAAGUUAG